rnacentral:rRNA from 1 species
UACGGGAGGCAGCAGUGGGGAAUUUUCCGCAAUGGGCGAAAACCUGACGGAGCAACGCCGCGUGAGGGAUGAAGGCCUCUGGGCUGUAAACCUCUUUUCUCAAGGAAGAAGACCUGACGGUACUUGAGGAAUAAGCAUCGGCUAACUCCGUGCCAGCAGCCGCGGUAAGACGGAGGAUGCAAGCGUUAUCCGGAAUUAUUGGGCGUAAAGCGUACGUAGGCUGUUUAAUAAGUCUGUUGUCAAAGACUGAGGCUUAACCUUGGGAAGGCAAUGGAAACUGUAAGACUAGAGAGAGAUAGGGGCAGGAGGAAUUCCAGGUGUAGCGGUGAAAUGCGUAGAUAUCUGGAAGAACACCAGUGGCGAAAGCGUCCUGCUGGGUCUCAACUGACGCUGAAGUACGAAAGCUAGGGGAGCGAAUGGGAUUAGAUACCCCAGUAGUCCUAGCCGUAAACGAUGGACACUAGGUGUUGGCCGUAUCGACCCGGUCAGUGCCGUAGCUAACGCGUUAAGUGUCCCGCCUGGGGAGUACGGUCGCAAGAUUGAAACUCAAAGGAAUUGACGGGGA